GGGGACGUGGCGGAACGGUAGACGCGCCGGACUUAAAAUCCGUUGGAGCAAUCCGUGUGGGUUCGAGUCCCACCGUCCCUACCA
rnacentral:tRNA from 1 species